rnacentral:lncRNA from 1 species
UGGCAAACUUUGCUAUCAAUUCUGUUCCCAUAUCCUCGGGCAUGCGAAAUCCCCCCUCAAGAGGCGAGCCAUUAGUGUUUGAUGUCUGAGCCUAUCUCCAUUUUUUGUGCUACAAUAUAGAUAGUUUACCAAGGUUAUUAGCUUAUAGCAGAUCUACCAUCUUCUCCUUUUAGGUUGGCAUCAUGGUUGGAAGAUCUUCUAUGCUACUCUCUACAUGAUGUUUCUUCUACAUGAUAGCGCUUGAAGUCUACAUGAUGUUUCUUGUAUUCAUAGCUCAAACCAUUUGUUUAGCUUAGUUUGAACAAAAAAUAUUAUUGUCUUACAUGUAAAUAAUGUUUACUAAUGUAGCUGGAUGCUACUGAACGCAUGUACGAAAGUCAAAAUACUAAAGUGUUAGUCAUUACGUGUUUGACAACUGCUGUUGAAUCUUGAGUGAAUUCUUGUAUGAAUAGAAAAAAUGCCACCAAAUUCCUGUAUG